CCAAUAGCGUAUAUUAAAGUUGUUGCAGUUAAAAAGCUCGUAGUUGAAUUUCGAGACCGGCUUACUGGUCGUGCUUUUGUGCGUACUGGUAUAAUCGGUUUCUCCUUUCUGACGAACUUUAAUGCCAUUAAUUUGGUGUUUUAGGGAAUCAGGACUGUUACUUUGAAAAAAUUAGAGUGUUUAAAGCAGGCUCACGCUUGAAUACAUUAGCAUGGAAUAACGGAAUAGGACGUUUGAUUCUAUUUUGUUGGUUUCUAGGAUCGACGUAAUGAUUAAUAGGGAGAGUUGGGGGCAUUAGUAUUCAAUUGUCAGAGGUGAAAUUCUUGGAUUUAUUGAAGACUAACUACUGCGAAAGCAUUUGCCAAGGAUGUUUUCAUUAAUCAAGAACGAAAGUUAGGGGAUCGAAGACGAUCAGAUACCGUCGUAGUCUUAACCAUAAACUAUGCCGACUAGGGAUCGGAUGAUGUUAAUUUUUUAAUGACUCAUUCGGCGCCUUACG
rnacentral:rRNA from 1 species